UGGGGAAUCUUGGACAAUGGAGGAAACUCUGAUCCAGCCAUGCCGCGUGAGUGAUGAAGGCCUUCGGGUUGUAAAACUCUUUCGCGCGCGACGAUAAUGACGGUAGCGCGAGAAGAAGCUCCGGCUAACUUCGUGCCAGCAGCCGCGGUAAUACGAAGGGGGCUAGCGUUGUUCGGAAUUACUGGGCGUAAAGCGCGCGCAGGCGGCCUUGCAAGUCAGAGGUGAAAUCCCAGAGCUUAACUCCGGAAUUGCCUUUGAGACUGCUUGGCUUCGAGUACGGGAGAGGUGAGUGGAAUUCCCAGUGUAGAGGUGAAAUUCGUAGAUAUUGGGAAGAACACCGGUGGCGAAGGCGGCUCACUGGCCCGUUACUGACGCUCAGGCGCGACAGCGUGGGGAUCAAACAGGAUUAGAUACCCCCGUAGUCC
rnacentral:rRNA from 1 species